AAUGCGCCGGCUCUUCAGACCUGGAUCAGGUGCAUCAACGAGCGGCAGCAGUAGUACUCUGCCAGGAGCUAGUCUUAAUGCUAGCCAAGUGAUGCAACCCCGAUAUCAAACUCAGCAGUAUUUCGGUGGAUGGACUUCAAAGUCAAGGAAGAGGUCUACUACCCAGAAUCACCCUACCUUCAACAAGGAUGUUGUAUUGUUACCUCAUCCAGCAUGGAGUGAAGUUUGCAAGCAUAAAACCAGAAGAAGGCUUCAUGAAAGUGGCUGUAUUUUAAGUGCCUUUGAAAUGAGAAAAAUGUGGGACUGCAGGACGGUUAUUGCAGAGAUUAGGGAAGCAUUCAAGGACAGAAUUCCUGAGGAUGUCGGUAUUGAACUUUUGAUGCCAUGUGGAAACAAAUUGGUUUCACCGAAGUUGCGCGAAGGACAGGAACUGAAUGGCUUUAUGAUUCACAAAGUAUUCAGAUC